AAGAUUUGUGGCCAAACUCAUUGUACACUUACAAGCUCGGUCAUAAAUUAUCUAAUGGUUCCUAUAUCUGGAGCAAGUCCUACCACUUCAAGUCAUCACCAUACCCGGGGGAGGACUCAUUACAGCGCUUAGUUAUAUUUGGCGACAUGGGAAAGGUAACAUCAAGAAAAAUAAGAACUAUCUGGCUUGGUGAAUGUUCAUAUUAUCAAGCUGGGUCACGAAAAUUUACUUUUAGUUUCAUAAAUUUCAGGCUGAGCGUGAUAGUUCAAAUGAAUACGCUGAUUAUCAGCCUGGCUCACUCAAUACAACAGAUACACUGAUAAAGGACUUAGAUAACAUUGACAUAGUAUUUCACAUCGGAGAUAUUGUCUAUGCCAAUGGAUACAUCUCACAGUGGGAUCAGUUCACGUCACAGGUGGAGCCGAUUGCAUCAAAUGUGCCAUAUAUGAUUGCAAGGUUUGUUGCUUGAUUUAACCUUGUUUCUGUGCAUGUAUGUAUAAGUUCACAUUUCUCUCUGAAACUCACAUGACGUGUUCCGGCAGUGGCAAUCACGAACGCGAUGCACCAGGGACAGGAUCCUUCUAUGACGGCAAUGAUUCAGGCGGCGAAUGUGGUGUCCUGGCGGAGACUAUGUUUUAUGUUCCUGCUGAGAACAGAGCGAAGUUCUGGUAAAUAACGAGAAUGCUUGUGUCACAAGCUACUUAACCAAUUAUUUUGCAAAAAUAAAAGUAUACCAAUCAUCCGAUAAAUUGGGUAGUUAAGCAUAUUGUAACUGUUCUUUUACAGGUAUUCGACAGAUUAUGGGAUGUUCCACUUUUGCAUAGCUGACAGUGAGCACGAUUGGAGGGAAGGCUCUGAGCAGUACAAAUUCAUUGAGAAAUGCCUUGCGUCCGCGGACAGGCAGAAACAGCCUUGGCUGAUAUUUGCUGCUCAUCGUGUUCUUGGUUAUUCGUCCGCACAGUGGCAAGAUGGCGCAUUUGGCGAGCCUAUGGGAAGGGAAAGCUUGCAAAAGCUUUGGCAAAAGUACAAGGUGGACAUUGCAUUUUACGGUCAUGUCCAUAACUACGAAAGAACAUGCCCCAUUUACCAGGUAACGCACACAAAAGAUUGUAUUAACUAGAAAUUGCACACAUGUUGUAUUCUGAUCCUUCAUCAAUGACGUUCGUGUGCUGCAGAAUCAGUGUGUGAAUACAGAAAAGUCUCAUUACUCAGGAACUGUGAAUGGAACUAUACAUGUUGUUGUUGGUGGAGGAGGCAGCCACUUAUCGGCUUUUGGCCCGGUGCAAACGAGUUGGAGCCUUUUCAGAGAUUCCGACUUUGGCUUCGUAAAACUUACGGCAUUUAACCACUCGUCGCUUCUGUUUGAGUACAAGAAGAGCAAUGAUGGGAAGGUGUAUGAUUCCUUCACUAUCUCAAGGGAUUAAAGAUGUUUUGGCUUGUGUUCAUGAUGGCUGUGAACCAACUACUUUAGCUACCUGAUGAACACUUGUUUUCUGAUCAACAAAUGAUGUAUUCUUGACAAGAAAUUGCACAUCGAACAAUCGACAAUAUAUUCUUGAAGUAUUAUUGUAUUUUGAAAGGGAUUUCAAGUGCUUUCAGAUAACUAAAACUGCAUUUAAGACCGCGCAUUCGUGAGUUUUUGGUAGAAAACGUUAAAAUGUGUUCAGUAGAAAAAGUUUUAUAGUGUUUUUCAGUACAUUUGGAGUAGAAGGUUCUCUAAGGAAUUUCAGAUCUAAAGGUCGUCACAUUACAAAGUUAAAUCGCUUAAUUGGUAUAACGACUGAAAGGUAUCCAUCCGAAAUUUAGCUAUCACAUUACGUACAGAACUUUAAAAUCAUUUGCUAUGUCAAGUAUUUCUGCAUUUCUUGUUGACUCUUUACUAUGUUCGUAAUGGACGUGAAUUGAUGAAGUAAACCCUCAGCUAUGUCCACUGUCUAGUCCGAAGCAAGUUCACCUUCAUAGUCCAGGAAUGUCACAAAUUCAGUUAAUCAAUGGUACUUUUAGAGACAUGUCCAGGUCAAUACGUUGGCCUGUGAUACGAAUCUGAUGAGUUGGCCUGUGAUAUGAAUCUGACAAGUUGGCCUGUGAUAUGAAUCUGAUAAGCGCUAUUCAACUUUUCGAAAAAUUAGGCUGAUAAAAGAACAAAAAGAUCACAAUGAAGACGUUGCAGCGCAAACGUGUCCAUAAGUUUCUCAAAACCACUCACACCAAAGUGCUUGCUUUUGUAUUUCCAGAGUGAGCAAGUCUCACUGUAACUGUGAAGAGAGGGUUCCAAGAGAGAAGAAAGAAAUUUGCAAAAUAGCAGAGAUUUGUGACUCGAACGAGACAUUAAGCUUGGGAGUAGCAUUUCUUGCUAAUGUCACAAUGGACCAAACAGCCUACGUUAAAGGAUGUUUGGAAGGAAGGUUGCGGUUAGACUUUCGAGUGAUCAAAGUAAACAUAUAUUGAGAAGCAGCACCUGAUAUGUCAAGACACUACGCAUCAAGGAUCAAAUACUUGCAAAUGAAAGUGCGCUGUAUUUCUGAUAUGUCAAGAGCUCAUUAGUUUCGUAGGGUUUUGAUGAGUUUCUGAUAACUUACAUGACUUUUUUUUUUAAAUCUCCUGUUUUGCAGGCUUAGACCAUCUCCUUGAGUUAAAACUUAAAAAUUUUAACCCAAAAAAUUCAAGUUUUAACUCAAAAAUAGUUUAUCUCUUUCAAUCCUUCUAGGUUAAAUUUUUAGAAAAACUAAUGAAAAGGGCUUGAAAAAUUUUAGUUUUAAUAAAAAACCAUGUUAUAAGUUUUGUUUAAUGAUUAGUACAAGGCCCAUAUUAAAUUUCACCCCUAACUUUUUUAGAUUGAGUUCCAGAUUUUCGUUGUUAAUGGAGUUCAUCGUUGUUUUGCAGACCUUCUUCUUUUUCUUUGAAACAAAAAUAUAGAUCCUCAUACUAUAUUUUGUAUUAUUUCGUUGAAAUGUGAUCGUCGUUAUUAUUCAUAAUGUAUUUGAUAUACUGUUUUUCAAUUUUUCUUCAUCAGUGGAGUUUAUCGUUUGUUUCUCCAGAAAAUUAAUUUAAGAUCUGCAUGUUAUUCAAUAAUAAAGACGAGUCACUGUUUCUGGACUGUAAAAAUAAACUAUCUCUGGAUUUUAAGUAACACUGUUUCUGGAAUCUAAGUCACUGUUUCUGGAACCUAAGUUACUUUACUUCUUGAAUCUAAGUCACUGUUUAUGGAUCCAAAUGAAAUAGACACAUUGUUUCUUAAAUGUAAGCUAGAAAAUAAAUAGUGAAAUUCACUGUAUUUGGAUUCAAAGCAAAUUACCUUGUUUCUUAAAUAUAAUCAACUGAUGCAUGAAAGAAAAGAAACAAUCAAAGGUUAAAACAUAGACUGUUUCUGGAAUCUAAGUCAUUUUUUUUAAAUUUAAGUCACUAUUUCUGGAAUUUAAGUUACUGUUUCUGAAUUUUGGUUCUUUUCUUUCCAGAUACAGUGUUUAUUUAUGCCAAACAAAACAAACACUGUAUCUGAUUUUUUUUUUCUUCCAGAAAACAGUAUUAUGUUUUGGGUUCUCCAGAAACAGUUUUAUGUUUUGGUUCUUUUUUUUUCAGACACUUUUUCCCCAUUUUCGACCAUUAAACUUCUUUGAACUUAUGUUCGGCGGCUUUGUGCUAAUGAAUGUUUCCUUUUUCAACUUUGAUUUGGUUGUUUUUAAAAUGGAGGAAUUCGAUUUGGUUGUUUUUGCCACGCCGGCAUGAGCCAUGGUCACGUUAAUUCUCAAGCCCAUAAAAUCAAUCCACACUUGAUAGUUAAUUCCAUUGUUGAGCUUCAACUCGUUGAAAUCUUGAUCAAGUCUGCCACUCCAAUACCCAGUGGUGCUCGAAGCAUUAGACGUAAGGGAGUUGAUGUCCAAACCAACAUGGUUGUCAUUAGGAUCCUGAAACUCUUGGUUUUCAAAGACUCAAACUCGACACCGAAGAUGUUGUUGUUGGGGUUGCCGUUGUUGGAGAAGUUGAAAAAACCCAAGUGUUGUGCGGAGCUUGCACUGCUUAAGCCAGAGAAGGGUGAAAAGAUGAUGGUUUUUUAUUAAACUUUGAGCCAUUUUGGUUAAAUAACAUUUUUGGAUGAUUUUUUAUUAAAUAUUUGUUGGCUCAAGCCCUUUUCAUUAAACCUCCCUAAAUUUUUAGUCUGAGAUUAUCAAAGAAUGAAUUUAGGAUAAUUUGUUUCUUAAAGUAACUUAAAAAUAAAUUAUGUAGACUAUCAUAAUUUAAUUUUAUGAACAUUUUAACCUAAAACUAUUUAGAUUUCGAUAAAUAUUGAAAAAUCACUAAACUUGCACCAUAAAACUCGUGGAACACUAUGAAAGAAUACGGAACACAUAAAAUAUAUUUUUUUUAAAUAUUUUAGCCAUUGGAUUUAAAUUUGGACCGUUAGAAUUUUUUUUUUUAAUCGUUGGAUUUAAUCAAAUUAGAUUUUAGCCGUUGAAUUCAAUGAAUUUAUAAAUAUAAAAAAAAAAAAAAUUAUAUAUAUAUAUAUAUAUAUAUAUAUAUAGAGAGAGAGAGAGAGAGAGAGAGAGAGAGAGAGAGAGAGAGAGAGAGAGAGAGAGAGUGGGCCAACCCCACUAACUCAGGGAAAAUCUCACGCUAAAUUUAACCCAUAAAUGAAUUUUGGGUUUAACUCAUAUAUAUAUAUUUGCCCCAAUGGUUGAAGCAAAUUGGGGUAAGCUUAGAUCCUAAAUUUAAGUUUUACUCUAAGGAUUAGAGUAGGUCUUGGAGAAGACUGGGAUGGGCUUUAAGCCAUCAUUUUAUGCCUUCAAAAGAUUGAUGUAUUGUCACACUUCCUUGGUUUAUAUUAGCUUCUUGACUUCAACACAUUGAUGAUAAACUUGCCGGAUGCUCCCCAAUAGAGCAAAGACAUUGAAAGUCAUACUGGCCAAAGAGGACUUAUCUUCUGAUGCUGAUUUUGAUGCAAUCGCGAGUGUGACCUUAAGGUAACAUAUAAAUGUGUGAUAGCGUUUUUCUCAUUUUCUUGCUUCUUGUUGGAAGUUACUAUUGGCAUUCCAAACAUGUCAUUUUGUACUACUUCCUAUUUAAAAUUAUAAAGGGAGGCCAGGAUCUAAAUUAUUUUCUAAAGUACUAGUAACAAUUCCCUUUUUACUUUGAUGACGGAUCUAGUGUCUAUGAAAAAUUAUUUACUACAAUGCAGGAUCUAUGUGUAACUGCUGCACACCAUCCAAUUAAAGAGCUUAUGGAGAAGGAAAAAAAAGGUCGAUCUUUCGUGUUUUUUCACCAUUUUUUCACGUAACUUUAAUCUUGUAUGUUUCACUGAUGGCAUGCAGGAGGUAGCUGCAGCCCUAGCAGAAGGUAAACCAGCUCCGGCUUGAGUGGGAGUGCCGAUAUCCGGCCUUUAAACAUGGAAGACUUCAAAUAUGCACAUCAACAGGUAAAAGAAAUGCAGACCAAAUAUACCAUUAGUACCAUUUGCCUUGUUUCUUGUAUUUGUGAUCUGGAAUUAGGUAUGUGCUAGCGUUUUGACGGAAUCCAUGAACAUGGCUGAGCUUGGCGAAGGGUGUUCAAGAAGAAAGAAAACCCUAUAUUAUGCAAACACAUGACCUCUCAUGUCUGUUGAAAUAUUAAUGUUAAAGUUGUUAAAGGGUAAAUUUUUAAUAUUAAUAUAAAAUACCAAGACAAAUUGAAAUAUUAAUGUUAAAGUUGUUAAAGGGAAAUUUUUUAAUAUUAAUAUAAAAUACCAAGACAAAUGCUUGGUGUGUAAGAGGCCACAUCUGUCAGCUUUAGAUCUCGUUUGGAUGUGUUUUUAAAAUGAUUGAAAACAAUUUUAAAAAAAAAAAUUGGGUUCCGAAAGCACUUAAAGUGCUUUUUACAAGAAACAUCAUUUACGUGCUUCUUCUAGGAAGCACUUUAAGUGCCUUUUCAAUAUUUACUUACAUUUUUACUAAAUAUUGAUUUCACAAACAUUUUCACCAAAAGUGUUUUCAAUCAUUUUAAAAGUAUAUCUAAACGAGGUCUUAAUUAGGAAGAGAGAGUUAAUCACCUCUGUUGAUGCACAAAACCAGAGGUCUUGGAACAACGUAAAUCCGACCGUGAAUCUGCAUUGGAGUAAAUAACACAAGAUAUAUCGUGGUUCAUCCUAAGGUUUGGGCUACGUCCACACUGAUAUUGUAUUUCUCUGACUAUAUGUAUGGAUUACAAGGGUGAGGGGGAGUCAUCCAGAGAAAGAGAGAGUUUGAGAGAGGGCUCUCUGUUUGUGAGCAUGAGAGCUUGAGAGAGAUGAGCUUUGUGAGGGUGAGAGGGCUUGAGGUUUGUGAGGGUGAAGAGACCUUUUUAUAGAAUAAGGGUUUCUUCCCUUUUUACAUAUUUGCCCCUCCAUUUAUUACAUAAUUACAUUUGAGUCUCCCGAGUAUUUAUACGAGGUCUAAAUACGGAGGCCCUAAGUAUGAUACAAACAGUAGUCCCCCAAGUCUUCAGUCAAGAGAGUCUUUUGGUUGAAGAAUUGAAAUUCAGUCCAUGUGUGGGCCGAAAUAACUAGAUGUCGUCUUGAACUGAUACUUGAUAUGAGGUGGUGCUCAAUCUGAAAUGAUGCUUAACUAGAAGUAGCGCAUGUUGCGAAGUUGCUCUGCUUGUGGCUUAUGUUGCCUUGGUUGGCUCAGCUUAUGGCGUUGAAGGUGAGGGAGCCCCUUUUAUAGAAUAAGGGAUCGCUCCUCAAUACAUAAGUGAUGGGCUAAGAGUGAUGCUCGUGGCGAGGCGGUUGCUCAGCUGGCGGCAAUGCUCUUUAAUGAAAGUGAGGGAGUCCCUUUUAUAAAAUAAGGUCUCGCUUUUCAGUACAUGAACAAUGGGUUAGGAGUGAUGCUCGCGGCAAUGCGGUUGCUCAGCUAGCGGCGAUGCUCUCUAAUGAAGGUGAGGGAGUCCAUUUUAUAGAAUAAGGGCUCGCUCCUCAAUACAUAAAUAAUGGGCUAAGUCCCCCAAGUAUUUUUCAUGAGGCCCAGUUGAGGCCCAAUAUAUGGUACAUAAUGUAGUCCCCCAAGUCUUCAGUCAAUAGAGUCUGUUGGCUAGAGACUUCAAAUUGAAUCCAUGUAUGGGCCGAAGUGGCGGUUGUUCGGAGGUGGUAUUUGUAUACCCUACACUGAAGCUUUGUAGGUACAGCUUUGCAAGUGAAGCUUUUGAAGCUGGAGCUUUGUAAAUGAAGCUUUUGAAGCUGAAGCUCUCGAAGAUGGAGCUCUGUAAAUGAAGCUUUCGAAUCUGGAGCUUUUGUAAAUGAAGCUUUUGAAGCUAGAGCUCUAUAAAUGAAGCUUUCGAAGAUGGAGUUCUAUAAAUGAAGCUUUCGAAGCUAGAAGUCUAUAAAUGAAGCUUUCGAAGCUAAAACUCUGUAAAUGAAGCUUUUGAAGCUAGAUUUACAUAAGUGAUGCUCAUGAAUGUUUAUGUUGAUUGACAUGAGUGAUGCUCAUGGAUGUUGACAUGAGUGAUGCUCAUGAAUGUUUGACAUGAGUGAUACUCAUGAAUGUUGACAUGAAUGAUGGUCAUGAAUGUUUAUGUAUGAUUGACAUAAGUGAUGCUCAUGAAUGUUUAUGUAUGAUUGAUAUGAGUGAUGCUCAUGUAUAAUUUUAGAGUACUGAACGUACUUUUGAUCACCUGGUUGGCGAUAAUAGCGGCAGGCUACCGAAUAAUUUUGGAGUACUGGACGUACUUUUAAUCACCUGGUUGGUGGUAAUAGCGGCAGGCUGCCGAAUAAUUUUUUGUAGUACUGGGCGUACUUUUGAUCACCAGGUAGGCUGCCGAAUAAUUUUUUGUAGUACUGGACGUACUUUUGAUCACCUAGUUGGUGAUAAUAGAGGGACUGACUCUUUUGGGCACAUGGGCCUUCGCCCUCCACACAACAUUCAAGCCCAUUAUUUUAGGCUUGACUUUUUUUUUUAUUACCCUCUGAUGGAGUUUAUACAGAUGUCUCCGAAAGAUAAGAAAAAUAAUUUACAUCAUUCAAAAAUAAAUCCGACCCUCUGCUCAAUGGGUCAUGCCCAUAAUUCCCUUUUCUGCAUGUCAUCACCACCGCAAUUAUGUCUGCUUCUUUUUAUUUUCUUUCACUUUCUGCUUUUGCUUUCUGCUUUUCUUGAUCUCCUCGCUCCGUCUCUGUCCACCCAUGUUGUUUUGUAAGGUAUCUUUUGCUUGCAAACCCACUUGCUUUUCUUGGACAGCCUGGUCGUGUCCAUCCAUUCUCACUCUUCUUUUUUCUUUUUCUUUUUGCUUUUGCUUUCUCUCUGUUCAUUGCAUGUUCUCCUGCGUGAAGUUAUCAUUGGAAAGCUAGGAGAUUAGGACACUGAGGGCAGCUUCCUGGGAGAUUGGGACACAUAUGAAGCACUGUAGCUCUUCGAAAUCUGCAGGAUAAGCUAGGAACUGAGUAUCUCGUCGGUCGAGAUCACACCAUUGGCGAGCACAGCCUUGAACACGGAGUAACACUAGGAGGUGAAAAAAGUCCUAAAAGAGCUCAAACGAGGAUGAUCCAACGGCGAAGAAGUCGUCGUGAAGAUGGGAACUCGGAGAAGUGAACUUGGAACAAUCGUAACCGCCAUCACCGAGUUGAAUCGUUGGGACAGAGUGAGCUGAGUUCACAAGCAAGAAAGAAAUGAACUUGGUGUCUUCUGUGCGGGCAACAAACUUUUGGGUUAACCAGCAGUCAUUUGCGCUAAUCUCCUCUAUCGCAUAAACUCCUUCCAAAACCCUUCAAAGCCGCAAGAUUGAAUCUUUUCGACCAACCCAGAUUCCUGAAUCGCCAACCUGAUUUGGUUCCUCAUAAUUCCAGCAUUUCCUUCAUUGACCCCAAACCUUUGGGUUUAAAUUAACGUGCCCCAACUGACAGCCUCCCCAAUUUCAUAAAAACAUCGGAAGACUCGUUGGAGGAAAUUACAGAGAGAGUUCGGCGAUUCUUCGAGAAGAAAUCCAGGCUGCCUUCAUCGGAGUUCUUCGGCACCGAGCUCAAGCUCUGACCUCGCCAGUGCUGCGAAUAUGCUUCCCGGGAAUAUAUUUCCCACAGGGUCCAAAAAUGCCAUGAGCGACUCAGGUUUACAAGUAGUAGGCUUGAAAAAGGAAAAAGGACCACCAUCGUAGGGUUGUUGGUCUCUCGCCUCUGCAACCUCCACUAUCAACUGGUUGGCCCUGACAUCUCCGAACUUCCCGUAGCUAAGCCUCGUCGGAUACGCGACAGCCUUUAACAGCGACGGUGGCGGAGCGGUCGCCGAGCUGGAGGACGCCUGAGCUGGCGCCGGCCGUCAGGAAUAGGUGCUUGAGCUAUCGGUGGUGGCAAGUGAGCUUGAGCCGCCAUCGGAAGGACGAAAACUCAUGGACCAUCCUUUUCGGCCAACUUCACCACAGAAUCUUUCGAGGCAACUGAUAAGGGCCCUGCGGUGUAAAUACUUUUCAUGCCACCAUAAGCUGGCAUUCUCUUUCCCAAAUCGUAGUGGUGUUGGUCUCUGUGGGUUUUGCAGAAUCACGGCGGAGGUGAAAAAAUGAAAGAGAACCAGACGGCGCCAAAUGUUGAGGCCCACAGACGGCGCCAAAUGUUGAGGCCCAAUAUAUGGUACAAAACUGUUUGUGCAUCAACAACCUCCAAGUCUAGACUCUAUUGGUGCUUACCUCUGAGUUUUGAAAUUUGUAUUUUUUUUUUUUGGUAUAAGACUGUUUACUACCUCAUGUUUCGUGGUUUUCAACAUUUAGUACAUUAAGUUUUUUUCAUCUUAAAUUCAUACAUAAAGUGUAAAUUUUGGGACAGUCUCAUAAAUCCGUUAGUCAAACUAUUAAAUCUGCCGUUAAUUGUGACGUGGCGCCCAUAUGGACAAUAACUAGGUGCCACGUGUCAUCCACAUUUUUUUUUUCUUCUUUCUUCUUCUUCUUCUUUUUCCUCCAACUGCAACUUUUUUUUUCUUCCUCUUUCUCCCUCUUCCUUCCUCCUUCUUCCUUCUCCUUCUCCUUCUUCUUCUUCCUCCGAAUCAGGGAAAGUUUUUUUUUUCUUCUUCUUCUUCUUCUUCCUUCUUCUUCUCCUUCUUCGAAUCUGGGAAGUUUUUUUUUUAAAUUUCCUCCAAACCAAUGUUUGACAAUCCCUAAAAUUUUAUUUUAAAUUUCCAUCAUUUCCAUUGAUAGCAACCGAUAACGAUAUCGAUAUUUGACACACCCUAACCCGGAAUGUCCACUAGGACUCCGAAUUGAGCUGUGCUGGCCGACACCUGGAAGGUGACUAAGCCAUAAAGUGUGAUGAUGUGAAAAAAUUGUGAAUAAAUUUAAACCUAAGAGUGCCUAAAUAACAGAGUGCACUGGUGAGCAGGAAUAAACCCACUGCACACAUGAUGUUAUAGCAUAAGUAAGUACAGAAGAGUGAAUUGGGAAUCGUACCCUCGAAAUAAUCUUCAAUACUAAGAAUCGCCACGAACCUUCGACGAUAAGAAAGCUGAGCUGAUAAAACCGGAAGGGUGAAGACAAGACAUAGGUGAGUGGCCCUGUAAGUAAGAUUUUUAUAGAAGCCAUAUAGAACAUUAUAACCCUUCGCUGCAACACCUGUAUAAUUUCCAGAAAAAUCAUAAUAUACCACACAUAACAUCUCAUCAAUAAUAUCAAAUAAUCAUGCAAUUAAUGACUCAUACUAGUACGUGAGUCGGAGUCACCUAGGGUGACCUGUAGGACUUACCCAUAUCUCAUCAAUAUCUCAUCAAACCUUGCUAGCAUAUAAGUCGGUGUCACAUGUAGUGACCUAUAUGGUAUAUUCAUAUCUCAUCAAUCAAUCUAGUCGGAGUCACCUAUAGUGACUUAUACGGCAUAACGCCUGCACACGAAUUGGAACCACUGUAAGAGUCUGUGCGACAAGACUGGGUGUAAGAUAGUUAUGCUCAAUGUUACUCUCUCAUGAUAGCUGUGCGAUAUAUUGCUAGUCACCUACGAGUCGGAACCACCUAUAUUGUCUGUACGACAAGACUGUGCACCUAAAUUGGAUCCAAUGUGAGCAUAGGGUGCGGGAGGUAACAUUAUAAACAGGCAUGUACCAUAUCUCUGGCUAAAUCACAAUCACUCAGGGUGCAGGUUUAUGAGCUUUAAAUGCAUCUAAUACAACGUAUACGAAUCAUAAGCAACCUGUACGACAAUGCCGAAGUUGCUUAAAAACAUAAUUGUAGUCAUAUAAUAACCCCAUCAAUUCAACUAAUACCGUAUACUUACUUGAACUUACCUAAACUUACCUGAACUUACCUGAACUUAUAUAUGUGUCCUGCGUUCACCUUUGCAUUUCAGAGCGUUCACAGUAAUUAUGUGCAAGGAAUAUAUGUAUGGAUAUGCCUCACAGUAAUCAUAGUAUUUCCAAUUAUAUAAUACAAUGUACUAACUAUUAAUCACCAAAACAUAAAGUUAAAAAGCACAUUUUUCACCAAUAUCCCUCACAUUGCUUAAUUCCUUAAACAAGGCUAUUGUCUUGAUUAUAUAAUCUCAUUUCUUAUAUGGCUGCAUCUAACGUCUCGUUAGACUGCCUACGUACCCUAAACAUGGAUCAAGCCAUUCGUAGUUCGCAUAUGGAUAUAUCACGAUGAAAUCUAAACUCAACAAUCUCAUAGUAUUUUAUAACAUAUAAAUAUAUAUAUAUGUCAUGGCAUAAAUUUCUUAGUUUUAUUUAAAAGCAUUUAUAGAAUUAUCAAUCAUGAAAAAAUAUGAUAAGCAAGGAAAGAUCUACUCACCUAGAGUCCACGCUACAGCUUCCUAACACAAACAUCAAGGUGUCACAAUCGAUCGGCGCCUGUGACCAAGGCCAAUUUGGCCUGGAAAGGCUCAAAUUUCAUCAAAACCCGUCGGAAACCCUAGUUUUGGGUGUGAUCGAUUCGUCCUCUACUUAACUCCGCCGCUCCAACUAACAAUUGGGCAUUGUUUCUAGGCUCAAAGGAAGUGUAUGGGUAGUGGCAAUUGGAAGAAAUUGUUUCAUAAAUGGUAGAUUUGGAGCAAAAACCUCACGGCACCCGUGUGGGUGUUCUUCGCAAAAUCACAAUGCAACUCGUUGAUUUUUGGGUCGAAUUGGAUGCUGGGAUAUCUUGAGGAUGUUUGAGGGUGAUGGGAGGUUGAAGAAAAUUGGAAAUUUGGACGGAAAAUCGUCGGGAAAACACCCUAUAGAACCAAGUAUUCGCACGGGUUAAAAUGACCCGAUUGCUCCCCUCAUUUUCCUUCUCCCUUCUUUCCCUCCUUUCUCACUUCUGGUUGGCCGUCCUCUCCUUCUCUCUUCUCUUGAUUCGCCCUCUCUUCAUUCUUCCAGAUUGGGCAGCUUUGCCCAAUCCCGUUUGCCCUCUAUUCUUCCUCCCCGGCUCUAUUCUUUUCUUUUCUUUUCCCAUAUUCUAACAAUACUCCUAUAAAAAUACUUAUAUAUAUAUAUAUAUAUAAGUAUAAAUAUUAACUAAAACCAGCAUACUUCUUGGGUUUACAGUUCCGUAAAACUUUAACCGUAACUCCAAAUCCUCUUCUGCUUGCGCCUACGAGCCCGUGUUGUCAAAUACUUCAGGGAUACGCUAAAACAAAAUUUCAUACGUCUCACUAUACGAUGAUCAACGAAAAUCAAAACAUUUGCCUCUGAGGGCACAUUCGUAAAAUCAUGCCUUUAAAAUUCAUAAAUUCGUAAAAUUAAAGACGAGUUGUCACAAUAUUCAAUAUUCAGUAUAUCUAUAAAUAUUUUCAUAAAUUUUCAUAUCGACAUUUCUACUAAUAAAGAUAUUUUAAACACUGAGUUCAACACAAUCCCAUUCCUAAAGGUAGCGUUUGGUACGCAGACGGGACGGGACGGGACAGGACGGAACGGAACGGGACAGGACGGGACGAAGGUUCCAUGUAUGUUUGGUACGCGCUGGACGGAACAUGUUGGUUGUUCUGUUCUGCGUUUGGUAUGCGUUGGACGGAACGCAAAUGACUGCGAAACCCGUCGGUUCGAAACCCGUCAGCGAGAUUCUGUUCGAAACCCGUCGGUUUGAAACCCAACGACGUGUGAAUUUGGACAGCGUGGUGUUGUGAAUCUGGGUGAAAUCCCGGGCUGCCAGAUCGGACAGCGUGGUGUUGUGAAUCUGGGUGAAAUCUUGGGCUGCCGGAUCGGACAGCGUGGCGUAGGCGUUGUGAAUCUGGAUGAAAUCCGGUCGUCGGACUCCGACUGCGACGCGUCUAGGUGGUAUUGCUUGGCCAAAAUCUGGAUGAAAUCCGAUCGUCGGACUCCGACCGCGACGCGUCUGGGUGGUAUUGCUUGGCCAAGCUCCGGUACGCCGACUUGAUCUUCGUUGGCGACGUGUUGGCCGUGACUCGGAGGACCUCGUACAGACUCGCCGUGGAGGCCGCUGCUUAGCCUCGGUGAACGCCUGGGAGAAGAAGGCCUUGAUCUGGAAAUUAAGUGUCGGAUGGAAGUGAAAAGGAAGAAGGAGGAGACGAAGAGGCUGAGAUCCGAGGAAAGAGACAAUGGGAGAGGGAACGAAUUUUAUGUUCCACAGGAUGGAAAAACCUGUUCCAGGGGGGAGCGCGGAACCAAAAUUUAGCCAAUUUCUGUCCCGCGGGACAUCCGUUCCACAUAAUUUUAGCGCGCCAAAUAUGGGACGGAAAGCGUCCGUCCCACCCUGUUCCGUCCCAUCCCACGUACCAAACGCACCAAAACGUCACCCUCUCGAAACAACUGUAGAAGCGGAGACACGUUAUCCACGUUUGUGAAAUAAUUGACAAGACUUUCAUUUUGCGGGCCUAAGUUUCUAGAGCAUAUCUCACAAAAUAUGCUGUGAUCACUUUACAUAUUAGACCACGUUUUCCUUUUUUUCCAUAAAAAAAAAAAUAAUUUCUUGGGUCCUACUUGCAGUAAAGAUAAGAUAUCCAGCAAUUAUCCUGUCUGGAAUUGUUCAGAUUUCAAACGUCCUAACACGUUUUUUUUUUGCCCUUUUGUAUAUAUUAGGACGGAAAGGGAUCCUCUUCGAACCAUUUCCAUCAAAUCUAGCUAAUUAUUCAAUUCGGGUUCUUAAAAUUUGAUCUAAUAGUUAAAAAUAGAUGACCUCUUUAAACGUUAUAAUAAUUUUAGCCGUUGGAUUAAAUUUCAAAAAUCCGAAUUGAUUGAUUAGGUGGAUUUGGUAAAAGGGAUCCGGAAAUGAUUCCUUUCCUAUUGGGACCAUCUCCAACCCUAAUGCUAAAUUCCAAAUAAGGAAAUGCUAAAUGCUAAAACUAUUUUAGUCUUUUUCUUCUCUUAACAUUUAAAAAAAAAACGGAUAUUUUAUACAAGUAAUCUUAAUUUUUUUAUGAACAUUUUAUUUUAAAAGUUGUAAAAUUUCGACAAAUAUGAAAUUUACCAAACCAUCCAUUGAGCACACAAAUUACAUUUAAGUUCUUUUACACACAAAACGCAUGAAAAACACAUAUGAAGGGCACCAAAUACAUGACACACGAGAGAGGAUUGGAGACGGUUUGGAUGGGGGAGAGAAGAAAUCUGGGGGCAAAAAAAGAUUUAAAUGCAACCGUUGGAUCACAAUGAUCACCUGAUAUGGAUCGUUGAUUUCAAAGUCAAAAAUUGAAAGUGGCAAACAACUACUUGCUUGUGUUCCUGCUAGUUUUUAGGUUGAAUCCAAUCAUAUCCGUUCAUGAUAUAUUAUAUGGUCAGAAAUUAUUUAAAAUUAUUUUAUUUAAAAUUUAAUACAUAUAGUACUUGACAAAAAUUGACCGUACAAAAUACGAUAAACGAACACGAUUCACAGAUCUCCAAGAUCCUCACCAAAAGGACUCGGAGAGGAUCCUGUUGGCUUAUGGUCGAUAUGAAUUUUUAUGCGACCUUGACAUAGACGGUAUAAGAUAUUUAGAGACCAAAAAAAUAUUAGGACAUGUUUAGUUACAAAAAAAAUAUGAAUUUAAAUUAUUCUGAUUUUUAAAUUUCAUGUGUUUAGUCUAAAAUAUAGGUAAAGGAAUCAUUUUACUCUUUAAUUUUUUUUCUGCGUUUACUUAUACGUAAUGAAUUGAAAAAGUAUAAGUUUGUUAUUGAAAUUCGUAAUCAAAUAACUAAAAAUCAGAAGUUAGAUCGACAAGGGAGGACUAGUUGAUUUGAUUUCCUUUUCGUACUUCGCCUACUUUUAACCUAUGUAAUUCUUUCAUUUUCUCAUUUAUGUUAAGUAAACAUGUAUUUGAGAUUGCAAUCUUUGAAAAUCCCCACAAAUAUGGACUGGGGAGCGAAUAUCUCACUUCUUGUUCUCGCUCAUUGGUAUAGGCCCACUUUUUAAUUUAUAAGCAAAUGUAAUCCCAUACUCUUUAUUUCUUCAUGACUUGGUUUAGGCUAGUCGACGAUAGUAAUAUAUCCGUUUUCUAAUAUAUGAGUUCGAAACUCUCUUUUUGUUGAAUGUAAUUUAGAAUUGUUUUGUGAACAAAGAAAUUUUGACCAAGGAAAUGGUUUAUAACUUAAGUGAUUAAGUGCAUUACUACUGCAUAUGGUCUUACGUCCAAUUUCAACCUCCCCCAAUAUGGUUUGUAUAGAAAAUGAAAACCUUUUCAAAAGUAUCAAACAAAAACAAUGACUUGUAAUUCAUGUAAUUAAGAGCAAAUGUGUCGCACCCAAAGUUCAAUAUUAUGUUUGAUUUAUCAUCCUCAAUGUUUGCUUGUAUAACAGAUAGAAGAAGGGGAAAUAAGGGUUUUUAUCACAAAUUGAUGCAGGAUGACUCAAUCUUUAUUUAAUGUAAUAAAGAUUAAGUGGGAUUAAUAUUAAUGAGUUCAUUAAGUAAAGUUUGAGGAUCAGUAUCCAGAUUUAUUAAUCAACUGAUUCGCCAAAUGCCUAACUUUUCCUUGCAGAUUCGUUGAUUGUCAAAGACAAUACUGAAUUUCACAAGUCACAAACCUCUUGUUGAUUCACCAAGAAUGUCAAGAAGUGUAUCACAUGAGCGUUGUUGAUUCUCUACAAAAGAAUGGCCAAUGAUCAUUGGGAUGUCUACACCUCACAAUUACACAUCUCUCUUCUCUCUCUAUGUGUCGCACCCUCUCUCUCUAUAAUUAUUUAGUAAAUUAUGUCUACAACAUAUAUAUAAUUUUUCUACACUAAAAAUAGUAGAAGAAUUUGAAUUCGAAAGGCAAUAAUUUUUUUUUCUUUCUAAAGUUAGAAAUUUCAUUAGAUUUGAAUGGUAACGUUUACAUCAAAGAACAAAAUAUUAAACAAUUCCUCUGGCUCGGUUCAACCAGUUAAAAAUUUCUUUGAUAUGGUCGACAUUUCCAUGAAAAUAUGCAAAAAAUCAGAGAAAUAUAUAAAAAAGGGGGUUGAAGUCUAAACUUCACUUCACAUUGUUAAUUAGGCUAAAAUAAGCAUAUAUCGUUGAUAUUUCUGACAUAUUUGUUACAUAUUGAAGAAACUUUUAUAGUUCCUCGAAACCAAAGUUUGACAAUCCUUAAAAUUUUAUUUUUAAAUUUCCAUAAUUUCCAUUGGUAGCAACCGAUAUCGAUAUUCAAUAUUCAAUAUUCAAUAUAUCUAUAAAUAUUUUCACAAAUUUACAUAUCAACAUUUCUAUCAAUAAAGAUAUUUUAAAUACUGAGCUCAACACAAUCCCAUUCCUAAAGGCAUCCUCCCUCGAAACAACUGUAGAAGCAGAGACAAGUUUUCCACGUUUGUGAAAUAAUUGACAGCCUUCUAGUUUCGCGGGCCAAAGUUUCUUUGGACAAGAGCUGCAGAGCGUACCUCAACAAAUAUGCUGCCUGUGAUCACUUUAAAUAUUAGACCACGUUUUCCUUUUUUUUUUUUUAUAAAAAAUAAUUUCUUGUGUCUUAUUUGCAGUAAAGAUAAGGUCAUCUCUAACGAUUGGUCAGAGGUUUCCUUUAAAAUAUUAAUAUUUUAAUAAACAGUAUAUAAUUAUAUUUGUCUUCAUCUCGAACCGAGGUUCAAUUUCAACCUCCCCCUAUACGGUUUGUAUAGAAAAUGAAAACCUUUGCAAAACUAUCAAACAUAAACAAUGACUUGUAAUUCAUGUGAUUAUGAGCAAAUGCCUCGCACCCAAAGUUCAAUAUUAUGUUCGAUUUAUCCUCCUCAAUAUUUGCUUGUAUAACAGAUAGAAGGAAAAAUAAGGAUUUUUAUCACAAAUGGUCCUGAAAUUAUCCUAUUUCAUCACUUUGGUCCCUCAAUUUGAAAAUCAAUCAAUAUUAUCCCUAAAUUUGACUACCGCACAUUAAUGUAGUAACUAUCGUCCAAAUCCGUCAAAUUUUCUGUUAGUUUGCUGAUGUGGCAAAAACUCACACAACAAAUAUUUUGAUGCCACGUAGACUAUACCUAAAAGAUUUCAUUUGUUUGUAGUUAAAAAAACAAUUAGAAACCAAAUAAAUAAAAUAAAAUAAAAUAAAGCCCAACGACAUCUACUCCGCCCCCUCCGCCCAUCUGCCACACCCAUCCACCCCAAGCCAGUCACACCCAUCGACGAAAUUGGCGAGAAGGGAGAUCGGAGCAAAUUCUGAGCUACCCAGAAUUGGUUGGUGCAAUUGGGUUGGUGGGUAUUUGAAUCCAUAAAUGGCGUGCUCUGUUUGGCAGUGUGGGGAUUUGAAUUAUAGGCACGCAUUAUCUGCAAAUUGAGCUCAGCUCCCUUCAAAUCUUCAAGCUUCAAUCUUCAAUCUUCAAUCUUUAAUGGCAGAAUGGUAAAAUGAAAGAAACCCAGGAGAGAAAAAAAGGAAAACAAAAGAACCCAGAUGCUAGAUUGGGUAAUGAGGAGGCAAAGGCGCUGAAGAGGGCAAAAGGGCGCGGGCAAAAGAGGUAGAGAGAGAAAGAUGCAGAUUGCGAAGCAAAGACAGAGAGAUUGACUGCAAGCCUCACAGGUAGCUCAACGGCAUAACCACCACCGGGGUGUGGCUGGGCUUGGGGUGGCGGGUGAGUGUGGCAGAUGGCGGAUUGGGCUGGGGCUAUAUGGCUGGUAUGGUUUUUGCUUUUCAAUUUAAAUUUUAAUUCAUUACAUAACAAAAUUAUUUUACUCGGUUUUUAAUUGUUUUUUAAACUUUAAAAAAGAUUUUUUUUGCCACAUCAGCAAUUUAACAAAAAAAUUAACGGAUUUAGACGAUAGAGGCUACAUUGAUGUGUGGUGGUCAAAUUCAAGGACGAAAUUGAUAGAUUUUGAAGUUGAGGGACUACAAUGAUGAUAUGAUUUGGGUCAAUUUCAAAAAAUAUUUAUGAUAAAACUCAGAAAAUAAACAUUAGGGGUGUGAUAUCCACACACCCCAUUUUACUUGUCACAUACUUUUUUAAUUUUUAGCCGUUGGAUCGGAUAAAUUGAAGAAGAUCAACAGACGGAAAUUAUCAAGAGGUGUGUGAGAAGUAAAAUGGGGUGUGUGUAUAGCACACCCCUAAACAUUAUAGCCAAAACCGAAAACAGCAUCAAACAUAAUUGUAGCAAAAGAAGCCAUAAAAAGUAGGAAAAAGUUUCAAUGCAAAUUAAAAGUAAAGGCAUAUAAUUUCUUUUUAUUCAAACAAUAUAAUUAGUGAAUUAAAUAUCACCUGCAACUGCAAGCAAAGGCAUAUAUGCAUUAGUACUAAAUGGGACACAAAGAAAGGUUAUCACUAGUCAAAGAUAGGAAAAGAGUUCACUAAUUAUGGUUUUGCUUGUAUUUUGUCUUUUGUCCACUCCUCUUCUAUUUUCUAUUUUGUCUUUCUUUUUCUAUAAAAAAUUAAUAUAAAAUGUUAACAUGAUUUAACCGUAAUUAUUCAAAUAAGAGAGAAGGGAAUGAAAAAAAAAAAAAAAUAGAGAGAAUCUUGCUCCCUGAAAAGGUAUUCUCCCCACGAGGGUGUGUCGAUAUUUUAACUAAUAAAUAGGAGUAGGAUAAUGUUUCGUUCAAUUAUGAACUGUCCCUACAAUCAAAAACAAUUUUAAAAACAUUGUCAACCAGAAGAUAUUUGGAUUUUGGAUGUGGGAAAGGGAUCCUCUCUAGAUUCCUUCCAUAAAGUUCAUCCAUCCAGAUCCUUGAAAUUUGAUCAAACGGUUAAAGUUAUUAUAACUUUUAAAGUGAUCUCUUAUAUGUAGCCGUUGGAUCAACUUUCAAGGAUUUGGAUGGGUGAGUUUGGUGGACAUGAUGGAAGGGAUUUGGAGGUGCUCAAUGCAAACAAAAGGACAGUAUUAUUAUAUUACAGAGCCUUUAUCCAAAGGGAUACUCAUUUUUUGGUAAAAAUGGGGACUAAUUAUGGGGCCCUUAUACAUCAAACUUCAACAAUCUAGACCGUCUAUUAUUUAAGUUUUCAUGCAGAGAUCAUCUUUGCAAAAAAUCAAUUCAAUCCAAAACCAUUUACUCAUUUGAUUGCCCUGAUGAAAUUUCAAUGUUUCUUGGAACAUAGUGUUCGUCAAUUUCUUUAAACUCAAUUAGGUGCCUCAAACAUUUUCGAUUUGGUUAAUAUUUUGUAAAGAUGAUCUAUAAAGUGCAACUUGAAAAAUACACAGUUCGGAUCGUUGAAAUUUGAUGUGGGAUGAGCUCUACAACUAAUCUCUAUUUUUACCAAAAAAUAAGAAUCCCCUUAAAUAAAGGGCAUGAUUAUAAUUAUUGUAAGUGGUAGGUUUGCUUUAGUGAGUAGGGAUUUUCUUUUCCAAUUCUUACUUUUCGAGUUCAAACUGUCUUCUUUUCUUUUGGGAUGUAAUAUCCUCCGCACACUUCUUUUUAUUUCUUACAUAUCUUUUUAAUUUUUUAUUGUCAGGUCAGAUAAAUUGAAGAAAAUCAGAUGACACAAUUAACAAAAAUGUGUAAGAAGUAAAAAUAAGUUUGUGAAAUGCACACCCCUUUCCUAGUUUAGAUUAGUCUUAUCACUUAUAAAAAAAAGUGUCAGUAUUAAAGAAUUAUUGUCAUGUCUAUUGACUCGAAAUGAGUUGGAGUGGAUAUUAAGGGUAUGUAAAAUCAUUUUUACACUUUUUUUUAGCCACUUUUACGUAUUUUUGUUUAAUUAUUGUCGUUAAUUUCAUUUGAUUUAUUCAACCUGAUGAUUAUAAAUAAUAAAAGUGUGUAAAAAGCUACAAAAAUUUGUUUGAAAAUCACUUCCUUUAACAUGUUUCGCUUCCUAACUUAUGUUUGCUAACAUAAGAUAUUGGUAGCAUUUCGAUUCUUUGCUAUCCUUGCAUUUACUUCAUACCAAAAAAAAUAAAAGAUAAAAAAAUUAGGUAGCUCUCAGCCUCUCAAUCUCAUAUAUGUAAUACGUAAACUAAUACUUGAAAAACUAACAAUUAGAUUGAGUAGGUAAGAAAAUUUGACCAUGAUCUAAUUCUUCAGUCAAGGACUCUCAUGACUUUUUAUUUUUGCAAAAAAAAGAAAUGCUAAGAAGGAAAAGUGAAAUUCUUCUUUGUCAUCUUACAAUUCAACGUUAGUUUUCAUAAUGAUAUUAUAAAACAUUGUAUCAAAACAUGAAGUGACAGAAGAUUGUAGACAAUUAUACUUUUUAGAGAUCUUCCUUGCCAUUUCAUUUCAACAAAAAAACAUAUCAUCUGUGCCCUAAAUUCCGACGUGGUUGUAUUGUAGUAUUGCAGACUUACAGGGGAUGAGGAUCCUCUUUGGAUUCUCUUUGUGGGGAUCCUAGGGAUUCUCAUAUUAUAAUUGUUCAUAGUAUACCGUGCAGUCAGUUUUCGUUAGAUACUAUUUGUGCUUAAUUUUAAAUAAAUAAAUUUAAAAUGAUGUCUGACGGUACGAUACGGUUAGGAUGUAAAGAUUUCUAGGAUCCUUGGAUGGGAUCCAAAUCCACUUGGAGGGACCGACACGCAACAAGUCGACAUCUCAGUCAAAUAGUUUUAUUUGUCCUUCUUCUCCUGUUGCCUUCCUUUAUCUCAAAAUAGAACUUGACCAGAUCGCAUCCAAUGAAACGGGCCGACGAAAAAAGACAAUAAUAAUAAAUAAAUAUUAUCAAUUACGACGAGUACAAGAGUAAGCCAAUAAUUACUGCAUCAAAGACUAAAAAAAUUAAUUAGUGCUUAAACCUGGUCUGAAAAUGUAUAUAAAUAUGGCAUGGGACGUAUGUGUUAGGCACAUUUGGGUGUGACCACUUUUAACAGAGAUGGAGAGCUUCUGCAGCUUCCUGUCUUUGAAGGCCGCGUUCUUAUUGAUUUUCUUAGUGAAUUCCUCAGCAGGUCAUCAACAUUACAGGAACAAGGAGGGAGGUGAUGGAGUGCAGCCACUUUCCAAGAUUUUAAUCCACAAAACCGUGAACGCGAUUCACGAGAAGGCUUCCGUUCAUGCGUCCCCUCUACUUCUCGGCACCACGGUAUCGUCAUCAACUACAAUUUUGUAUCACAUUUGUUCGGAACAAACAUAGUUAUGUUCGGUAAAAUAAUAUAAUGAUGUUUUUGGUUCAUUUUCCGUUUUCAGGGGAAGGAUUAUGAAUGGGUAACUGUGACUGUUGUUAGUCCUAAUCCUUCUGCUAAUGACUGGUUGGGAGUCUUUUCUCCAGCAAAAUUCAAGUAAUGUGCAGUUUUUCCACUCUCUAAUUAUUAAGAAUGCUGAUAUCCCCACUCCUUUGUCUUAAUAAAUUUUUUAUUCACAAGUUUAUCUCUUAACAAAAUCACGAAUAAGGACAACAAGUUGUUCAAAAGUGCAAUCUUUGAUUUUUACUGUUCUUACUUUUUUUGCUCAAUACCAUCCUCCUUUUUUAUUUUUUCCCCAUCUGUUUUUUUUUUCUUGCUAAAUGUUUUCCCCGUCAGGGUUGUUUUGUGAAAGCCAAAUGAAGCUACUUAUGUUAGUGUGCUUUCUUCCUGUGCUAAUUUGGAUGGGUUGGGAUCUAUUUAUUGGAGAAAGCAAAUCCAUAGGCAUGUUAUUUGGGGACUGCGUUGGUGGAUCUUUACAGGAAGACAUGUUGUUUGGAUAGCGCUGGAUAUGAUGUUCCAGCAAAUGGUAGUUUAAAAAAUGUGCACUUGGAAUGCGAUGAUUUCUGCACUUUCUUUGAGAAUGAGGCUUUGGACUUGUUUGAAAAAAUGAAGAUCGAGAGGUUGCCGUCGAGUUGCGUUGUGUUGUAAGGGGUUGGGUGAUAGUUGGGUUGAGUGCUUUUUUUAGUUUAUUUCUUUCAAUUUCUGCAAAAUAGUAGAAUAUUUUAAGGACAUUUUAUGAAUAUAGGUGGGUGGAGAAAGAGUGUUUUAAUUUUUUUUUGAGGGGUGGUAAUAUAGGACAAGGAUUGUCUGCUCACCCGUGACUUCCUGUUUUAUGUGGUCACGGUUAAAUCACGUCAAUAUUUUAUAUUAUUUUUUUAUAAAGAUAAUAAGACAAAAAUGAAUAGUAAUAUAAAAUAUUAACGUGGUUUAACCGUGAUCACACAAAUAGGAGGGCACGGAAGGGCACGUGAAGUGGGAGGACAAACAAUCCUUGUCCGGUAAUAUAAGGUGGGGUAGGGAAUAGGGUUCUAGGGUUCUAGGGUAGGUCUAGUAGCUCUCAUUAUUAAUCAAGUUCAUUUCAGCCCUUAGAUUUUUUAUAGGGUUGAGAUUAAAAUUGUCAUUUCAGUUCAAUAUACUUGCGUUUUUGCUCAUCUUAAUUAUCUUCCACUUUCUAAUAUUUUGGCUCUUUAAUUCAAGGACACAAAUGAGCUUCCCUCUUCUUACUUGUUUGAUUCAUACAUGCAGCAAAUUAUUCAAUUUUUCUUUGAUUCAAGGACACAAAUUACGUGCACAUAUUUCUUCAUUUUUUUUAAUUUUUUUAUUUAAUUUUUAGGAAGAGGGGGAGAUUUUGAAACUAUUAUAAUAAUUCAAGGGAAAUGAGAGUUUCGAACUUGAAACAUAUAGGUAGAAACCCAACAUCCUGUCUACUGGGAAAUCGGACCAAAUGCACUUCAUUGUUCUUUGAUAUUUUACUGCAUAAUCUUCUUUACUUCCACUGCAUAUGUAUAAAUAGAGCUUGUAGGUUGAUUAAUUAAUUAAACAAGUCAAAUUAUAUAAUGGCAGUGCAUCAAGUUGUCCAUUCACAGAAGAUUACUAUGAGCCAUAUCUGUGCACAGCUCCUAUCAAGGUAAAUAUGUUGUUACUUGGCGUUGUUGCACUUCAAAAUGCUCGAGCUGUUUGUCUCACUGAACUCAAAUCUUGUUGCUUCUCAUUUCUUGCAGUACAAAUAUGCGAACCACUCCAAUGCCAAUUACAACAAGACAGGCAAAAACACUCUGUAUUUCCGGUUGAUCAAUCAACGCUCGGAUUUCGCAUUUGCAUUGUUCUCCGGCGGGCUGUCAAGCGUGAGUCCAUCCGUUGCACUCUUCUCUUUUUGCACUUCAACUGUUGUUAAUUGAUUCUGAGCAUAUGAUAUUUUUCUUGCAAUGCAGCCGAAAUUAGUGGCAAUUUCUAAUGCUAUAGUUUUCGCAAAUCCAAAGGCGCCUCUUUACCCUCGUCUUGCUCUAGGGAAGCACUGGGAUGAAGUAUGUUUAUGUUCCGGUCAUGCUGAUAAAGUGCUCCAUUUUUUUAAGCUAUGUAUUAUAUGUGCCUGUGAAACUGAGUUCCUAAGAAUGUUUGUUUUAUUCUUUUGCAGAUGACAGUAACCUGGACAAGCGGCUACGACAUCAGUGAAGCUGUACCAUUUGUCGAGUGGGGUUUCGCGGGAGAAGCUCAAACUCGAUCCCCAGCAGGAACAUUGACUUUCCCUCGAGGAAGCAUGUGUGGUACGAAUCAUAUGAUCAAAUCUAAUUUCAAGAACAAGGCUAAGUUUAUAUAUAAGGAUUUGUGGAAAGAGAGAGACACUGAAAAGGAAAAAUAAAUUGUUGUGGAAUGAAAUUCUUGUUGUAAUAAUCUGCAGAUGAACCAGCACGAACAGUUGGUUGGCGCGAUCCUGGUUUCUUCCAUACAAGUUUUUUGAAAAAUUUGUGGCCUAAUUCAAAGUAUGCAGCUUGAAAAUCAUCACAUUCAUGAGAAAUUUUUAUUUUGUACGUAGUGCUCGAAUAUUGAUUGCCUGUUUCUACAGGUACACUUACAAGCUUGGUCAUAGGUUAAACACUGGUUCCUACAUCUGGAGCAAGACCUACAAUUUUACGUCAUCCCCGUAUCCAGGACAGGACUCGUUACAGAAGGUUAUCAUAUUCGGUGACAUGGGAAAGGUAAUUUCAAGAAAACAAAAACUAGCAAAUCAAAGCUUGGUUGAGAUGUUGAAUGGAAAAUGAAAAUUUUGCCACUAAACUUUGCAUGUCACAUUGAAUUUCUGCAAAUGUAUCUGCCUAG
rnacentral:lncRNA from 1 species